GUGCUUACUUUGGCAGCACAUAUACUGAAAUUGGAACAAUACAGAGAAUAUUAGGAUGGCCCAUGCACAAGGAUGACAUGCAAAUUCAUGAAGUGUUCUGCAUUUUU
ensembl:snRNA U6 U6 spliceosomal RNA